rnacentral:lncRNA from 1 species
GGAACUGUUUGGUUACUAUGGAACUUCAGAAGAAAUUAUUUUCUUUUUUUUUUUUUUCUUAAAGGAAAGACUGUAGAAAGAAGUUGGGUCUAAGGACAGAGACAGAUUCAAAAAGGACAAAAGCACCAGAAUGUUCCUGUUUCUGGGUAGAGGAGAAGAUAAGCCUUAUUCUGAAGGUAUUGGAGGUUAAGAGAGAUGGCUACCCCCAACACAUAUUCCACAAGAAUCUGGGAAUUUAAGAUUAUAACCUGGGGAAGAGGACCAAGCUGAAGAGUGAUUUGAAGAACAUAAGAGUGGAUUAAUAUAUACAAUGGAACAUUACUCAGCUAUAAAAUAAAAUGAAAUAAUGC